GAUGAACGCUAGCGAUAGGCUUAACACAUGCAAGUCGAGGGGCAGCGAGGUGUAGCAAUACACCGUCGGCGACCGGCGAAUGGGUGCGUAACGCGUAUGCAACUUACCUUUUAGUGGGGGAUAACCCGGUGAAAGCCGGACUAAUACCGCAUAUGCUCCGAAUAUCACAUGAUUUAAGGAGGAAAGAUUUAUUGCUAAGAGAUAGGCAUGCGUUCCAUUAGUUAGUUGGUGAGGUAACGGCUCACCAAGGCAUCGAUGGAUAGGGGAGGCUGAGAGGCUUAUCCCCCACAUUGGGGCUGAGACACGGCCCAA
rnacentral:rRNA from 1 species